GCCCCGGUAGCUCUGUGGUAGAGCUCCUGUAUAUGGUGAGCAAAAGCGCCUAGCAAUAAUUGCAAGGAGGUCGCAGGUUCGAAUACUACCCGGCGGCU